GAUGAACGCUAGCUACAGGCUUAACACAUGCAAGUCGAGGGGCAGCAUUAGGUAGCAAUACUGAGAUGGCGACCGGCGCACGGGUGCGUAACGCGUAUCCAACUUUCCCGUUACUCUGGGAUAGCCUUCCGAAAGGGAGAUUAAUACCGGAUGGUGUUGAAAUUUCGCAUGUUAUUUCAACUAAAGAUUUAUCGGUAACGGAUAGGGAUGCGUGACAUUAGGUAGAUGGCGGGGUAACGGCCCACCAUGCCUACGAUGUCUAGGGGUUCUGAGAGGAAGGUCCCCCACACUGGAACUGAGACACGGUCCAGACUCCUACGGGAGGCAGCAGUGAGGAAUAUUGGUCAAUGGUCGGAAGACUGAACCAGCCAAGUAGCGUGAAGGAUGAAGGUUCUAUGGAUUGUAAACUUCUUUUAUAUAGGAAUAAAACCUCCCACGAGUGGGAGCUUGUAUGUACUAUAUGAAUAAGCAUCGGCUAACUCCGUGCCAGCCGCCGCGGUAAAAC
rnacentral:rRNA from 1 species